UUUUGUUCUUCUCUUCUUUCAGGCUGCUGAACAAAAAACCAAAGGAACCAGCAGAGGCUUUUUCCAUAAGAUUAGAAAAUGUGUUCCAGCCCACAAAUCAGGCUCCUGAAGACCUGGCCUCCUGUUUCCAGGACGCUCUUAACGGCAUAAUUUCUGAUUUGACUGCUGUUGCUAUCUUUUUGUCAGUUUUUAUGGAGCCAGCCAGACUUUUCACCUUUAGGAGGCUGGACAGGCUCUCAUGAACUUCUGUUGUGAAGCACAUGAGUUACUAACCUGGAGAACGGAUGAUUCUUCAACUCCAUUACAAAUUUAAAUGCCACCUUGAGGUCAUCACAGGACUGGAUAUAUCCCUUUAGAUGAUCCAAAAGGGAUUUAGAUUUAAC
rnacentral:lncRNA from 1 species